GUAUACAUGUAAAAGCUUUUGAAGGGGUGAAAAAGAAAUAGAAGUUGGAUAAUUGUGAAAAUCGUUGAAGGACAAACAGUAUGAAUAUUCCCCAUAAAUUGAAAUUUUAUUCAUGCUGAAAGAGGCCGGAAAAAUGACUGAAAUUGCACAAAGUUUGAAUGAAGAAGUAAAUUACCUUAAAAGGCAGCUAAGUGAGAAGUGACAUGAGUUUAAGUUGUAGUUCGAGUGGUAGUAUAAGUUGUCAUAGUAGUGAUAUUAGUAGUCAUGUGAGCAGUAGAAAUAGUUUGAGAAUUGAAGAAGAAGUCAAAGUAGUAGAGCUAGUGGUAGACAUAGCAUUAGAAGUAGAGAAAGUAAAAAUAGUAGCAAUAGUAGUUGAAGUAAAAGUCAAAUGACUAGUUUAAUUGAUAUUAGCAGUAGUUGUAGUAGUAGAAGUGGGAUUUUGUUUAAGGGGUGAAUAAUGCAUGAAUAUUAAAACUAUUUUAAACAGGGAAAAUUUUAAUAAUUAAAAAUCCUCAAAUAUAUAUAUUAUAUAUAUAUAUAUAUUAUAUAUAUAUUAUAUAUAAAUAUUAGAAAGUUUUCAAGUAUCAGAAAGGUCUGAAUCAGUUUGAAUGAGUUUUAAUUUGUUCGAAGAAUUGAACAACAAUCACUGAGUGAUUUUAAAAUGGGGGAAAUUUAAUUGAAUAAAAAUCCUGAAUACACCCCAUAAUGUCCCCGAUGCGUUGAAUUUUUGAAGCCCUGAAUGGUUUCUGUAGCUCAAAGUUUGUGGGAGGAGAUAGAGGCCAAAGUUUGUCAGGUGCUCUAGUGAAGGGUUUUAAAUGUAACCCCAGUGCUCUGUGUACUGAGCCUGGCUUCAUGUGUCUCAUAUGACCAUUAGAAGCAGCUUUCCAGUCAGCUGUGUGUCUUCAGGUGCACUGAUUGGUUGCCAUGGGGAAAGUAGAUGCAUCAAUACAGCAGGAGAAAGGAGGCUUGAAGCUGAGGAAACAGCUCUCCUA